rnacentral:rRNA from 1 species
CGACUGAGCGGCGGACGGGUGAGUAACGCGUGGGUAACCUGCCUCAUACAGGGGGAUAACAGUUGGAAACGGCUGCUAAUACCGCAUAAGCGCACAGUACCGCAUGGUACCGUGUGAAAAACUCCGGUGGUAUGAGAUGGACCCGCGUCUGAUUAGGUAGUUGGUGGGGUAACGGCCUACCAAGCCGACGAUCAGUAGCCGACCUGAGAGGGUGACCGGCCACAUUGGGACUGAGACACGGCCCAAACUCCUACGGGAGGCAGCAUG